rnacentral:rRNA from 1 species
CAGUCGUACUUAUGGGUAAUCAGCCUUUUGGGUGUAAUUCUGUGGGGCGUGAGGAGCUUAACCGCCUUCAUGCCUGCAUAUUCGUGCUCUUGGGUGUACUUGCUCGUGUGGUUAGGUUAACAUCAAUUUCGGACGCCAAUAAA